CCUUUAGUAGACGUUGAAUAUAGCAGACUAGUUGCAUUACUGUUAUGAAACUUUUAGAGGCUUGAAAACAGCUUUCAUUUAGUAACUGUGUGGGAGAUCGACACUGACUCCAGCAUCUCCACAGUUGUAAGAAGCUGUCCAGACUUUCAUCACCAGCAUUUUACUGUAAAAGGUCACAGCCGUGUCUCCGAGGUGGGGCCACAUACCAGGGACCCCGAAGGCCUGCUGGGCCCCGCUGACUCCUGGACGCUCUUAAGUCCAGGCGUGUGGCUCUGCAUCACCCCCCAUUCGUACAGAGCAGCUGUGCACAGACACACGGCCGGCCGCGGUGAUGUGGCUGCUAUAAAUACGUGUGUGUGUAGUGAAGGAGUGACAGCUGUGCGCUGGCCUCCUCCAUCAGCUCACGCUCCAUACGGGACAAGGACAUGUUACUAAACCCCCCUUCUUAUAAUCAACUUUUGAGUUUUUCAAAAAGAGUCAAAGUUUGCCAUGCAUAAUUUCACAAAUCAAUGAUGCUCCAUGUAGUUGCUGAUACAUGAAUGCAUUUUGUAGCUGGUCUGAGUGGUUGCUAGGGUUUUCUGAGCAGUUACUGAUAAAUAAAUGCAUUUUGUAGCUGUUCUGAGUGGUUGCUAGGGUGUUGCUAGGGUUUUCCGAGCAGUUACUGAUAUAUUAAUGCAUUUUGUAGCUGUUCUGAGUGGUUGCUAGGGUUUUCCUAGUGGCUGUUGACAAAAGAAUACAUUUUGUUGCUGUUCUGAGUGGUUGCUAGGGUGUUGCUAGGGCUUUCUGAGUGGCUUUGAUAAAAUAAUGCAUUUUGUAGCUGUUCUGAGUGGUUGCUAGGGUGUUGCUAGGGCUUUCCGAGCAGUUGCUGAUAAAUUAAUGCAUUUUGUAGCUGUUCUGAGUGGUGCUAGGGUGUUGCUAGGGCUUUCCGAGCAGUUACUGAUAUAUUAAUGCAUUUUGUAGCUGUUCUGAGUGGUUGCUAGGUGGUUGCUAGGGUGUUGCUAGGGCUUUCUGAGUGGCUUUGAUAAAAUAAUGCAUUUUGUAGCUGUUCUGAGUGGUUGCUAGGGGGUUACU